rnacentral:rRNA from 1 species
CCUACGGGGGGCAGCAGUGAGGAAUAUUGGUCAAUGGCCGGGAGGCUGAACCAGCCAAGUCGCGUGAGGGAAGACGGCCCUACGGGUUGUAAACCUCUUUUGUCAGGGAGCAAGGUGCAGGGCGGGACCGGCUGUGAGAGUACCUGAAGAAAAAGCAUCGGCUAACUCCGUGCCAGCAGCCGCGGUAAUACGGAGGAUGCGAGCGUUAUCCGGAUGUAUUGGGGUUCAAGGGUGCGCAGGCGGAGGCACAAGUCAGCGGUAAAAGCGCGGGGCUCAACCCCGCGCCGCCGUUGAAACUGUGUCCCUUGAGUGCGCGACGGGUAGGCGUACUGCGUGGUGUAGCGGUG